rnacentral:tRNA from 1 species
GGUCGAUUAGCUCAGCUGGUUAGAGCGUGGUGCUAAUAGUUUCAUACUCGUUAACGCCAAGGUCGUGGGUUCGAUCCCCACAUUGACCU